rnacentral:lncRNA from 1 species
AUUGUGUCUUUGAGCGCGCAGCAUCGUGCUUUGUGCUGCCGGGGAUAACGGAUUCUGGGUCUCACACGCAUCCGUCACCUAAAACACCCUUAAACUGAACCAGGGUCUCCACAGCUGGAAGGGAAACAACGUGCUGGGACCCAGGCUGCUCUGAGCUACAAGGAUCCCAGGAGUGAAGGAAAUGUUUCAGGGAGCAGCCCAGGCAGCGGGGGGAGGAAGAAAGCCCUCGCACUCUUACCUCCACAUUGAAAUACUGCUCCGUUCCGCAGACUGUAGCACAUAAAAUCCAAAGCAAGGUUUGCAAGAAAAACACCCCCGAAUGAUGCACGAAAUCCAACCGUCUUCCAGUGCUGAAUGCACACGCACGCGCGCUUCUUAAAGGAGACGGCUCAUAAAGGAUUCCCCACUACGGCAGCAGAGGGGAAGAGGAGCCCACGGGAAAGAAAAGCAGGCGAGGUUAAGAAUAAAGAGUGUUCCAGGUAUGACAGCUACCUCGGUGAGGUGGAAGAGAGAAUUGACAAGGCAAAUUUCAUGGGUGAGUUGGAAAGGCAAGAAGCAGGACUACAAGAGGUCCUAUGUGGUAAGCAGAUGGAAAAUUCUGAGAAUGGUUUGCCAAAAAUUGUAUUAGACUGCAAUAACUUUUAUCCAAUAAAAGAAAAAAAGGCUGAGGAAUGGGACUUUGCAGCUGUUGCUGUAAAAAUGUAAGAAAUGCCCACCCAACUUGACCCAAGACCCAAGAAGUUCUCAGGGAGACCUUCCUGACAGUCUGCCUUGUGCCCAGCAUGUGCUGCCCACAAAAUAAUUUUGAAGAUGUAAUAAAAAGCAAUGUCUUAUAUUGUAUAGUACAUUAGAAUAUUCAGAAUGUUUCCAGACAUAGUAUCUCAUUUAAUUCUCACACCAUCUCUGAGGAUUUUGUUUUUAUUUUACAGAUGAAGUAAAUGAUAGCAAUAAAGCUAAUGUGACACAUUUGCAAGCAUAGCUGCACAUGUUCUGGUUUAAUUGGGAAAUCUCUCCUUUGACUUUCAGGAUAGCACAGAAGCAGAGACUUUAAGUCUAAACAGACCUAGAUUCAGAGCCGACCCGAUGCUGCUUGAAGAAGGCUGGAGGUAUGUUAAGGAGACAAGGGCUGUCAAGAAGCAGGGAUGUCUCUGGAAAGGGUGAGCAGCUGACGUCCUUUGUUCCCCUUGCUGCUGCCAUGUGAAGAAGGACAUGUUUGCUUCCCCUUCUGCCAUCAUUGUUAUUCAUGUUAGGCUCCUGAAAACACCACAAGGACCUACCCUCCGGGAGCCAGCCAGAGAACCCUUCUUCCUGCACUGUCUCCGUUAUGCCCAACAUUUCUGGGCAUAAGUUUUAAUAAACCUUACCUGGGAAAAGUUUGUUUGGCCUCGUGUUAAUUGCUAUUAUAUGGAGAGCCAAGAAUCUCGAACCAGUAAGAGUUGUGAAGUCACCCUCAAUAUUUCCCAAGUCUUCAAAGGAAUUGAGACACUAUAAUCAUUACCCAGGACUCCACGCUUGUCAAAUUUGUUGAUGACCUCCUACUUUGCAACCAAACUGAAUAGAAUGCUUGUAUAGACUCCCUAAUCCUUCUGAAGGUACUGACUGAGCAAGGCUACAAAGCCUCCAAAUCUAAAUGUCCGGAGUCUCACUCUGUUGCCCAGGAUGGAGUGCAGCGGCGAGAUCUCGGCUCACUGCAAGCUCUGCCUCCCGGGUUCACGCCAUUCUCCUGCCUCAGCCUUCUGAGUAGCUGGGACUACAGGCGCCCGCCACCACGCCCGGCUAAUUUUAUGUAUUUUUAGUAGAGACAGGGUUUCACCAUCUCUAUCUCCUGACCUCUUGAUCUGCCCGCCUCCGCCUCCCAAAGUGCUGGGAUUACAGGCGUGAGCCACAGCGCCCGGCCCAAAAAUCCAUUCUUAAUGGCUUUCUCUUCUGAUGCAAAAUCCUGAUUGCCUUCAAAUAUUACUAUUAGAUAGAAAUCUCCCCACCUUUAGCUGAAAGAGAUAAGGAGGUUUUGCACUGAGGAAACAAACAAACAAACAAGCAAACAACAUUCAUCAAUUUUUAAAAAAAGUAUGUAUUGAACUAUAGUCAGGUUCAAUGAGGAAAUGCAUUACAUUGUCACUAAACUGGCCUUAGUUGGAGAAAGAACACUGGCAGAUUAAUUAAAGUUAUUAGCGCUUAUGGUAGGAAACUGCAUGAUAUAUGUGAAAGAUCUUUUAGGGACUGGAAACACAGUGUAAAUUCAAACUCCUCCCAAAACUUUAACAAGGCUGGAUGAAAUGAAAGGAAUACUGUGAUUUCUACAAUUGACAACAGUGUCAGGCAUGCAGGAAACAAACAAAACCUUUUGAUGAAGGAAAAGUAACUUCUGGACAAAGUAUAAUUGGUUACAGGUAAACAGAUAUGUCAUCCAGGCAGAUAUGACAGUUUAUAGGAAAAAUAUAAUGUUAUGAUCUAAAAAAUGCAAGCCACAAACCUAUUGCCUGGGCAAUAAUUAGCCUGAAGUUGGGCUACUAAGGAGCUGGCUAAGCAGCAGUGAUAACACCAGAUACUGGAAGAAACUUCUGUGAUCAGAAACCAAUACAACUAGUGAACAAUUCACAGUAUUUCUAAAUCCGGGCACCAAGGAAGUUGUUUGGUUAGUCAUGAUGGAAGCCAGGAACAAAUAGAUCUCAAAUGUGUGAUAAUAAUUAUCAAGCGGAAUGUCUAGAAUAUUAUAGUGAGUGCCAAGAUUUCCAUCUAAGACAUUACCAACAUAGCAACUGAGGCAUGAAUUACAGGUUUUACACAAAAAAAGCAUUAUAAGAAUAAUACAUAUAAUAUAUUAACAGUUCAAAAGUGAAACAAACAUUUAUGAAUGGGCUACUCAGAUUUAAAAUAAAAUAUUGCCUGUUCAUUGAAUGCUUUCUGGAUUUUACUUUCUAAUUGUAUACCUCUCUUUCUUUCUUAAGAUAACUACUAUCAUAUAUUUGUUUUGGACUGCAUGUUAAUAAAAUUAUAUAAUAUGUAUUUUAUUAACUUCAUAAUAAAAAUACUUUUUAAAAUAAUGAGAAGUAAUACGACACGUAAAGAAACCUGGAUUGAAACAAAGAAAUGAAGAACACUAGAAAUGAAAUAAAUAAAGGAGAACGGAAAUCAAGAGAUGGCAUUUGAAGUUUCGCAAGUAUCCUGGCUUCCUCCCACACCCCAAAGCUGUGCACACGAGGUGAACUAGCGUACCCACAUGGACCUCAUCUGUGUGAGUGUGGGUGUGUUUGAGUGCACCCUCUGAUGGCAUAUCAUCCUGUCCAGGGUCGUUCUUCUAUUGCUCUGAACUGCCAGGAGUGGCUCUACCCACCUGUGACCCCAAACUCGUCUCAGCAGGCAUGGUUUCCCUUUAUCGCUGAAGCUGGAAUACAGGGAUUAUAGCUCACUGCAGCCUUCGGCUCCUGGGCUCAAGUGAUAAUCUUGCCUCGGUAUCCCAAGUUGCUGAGUACCUGAGACUAAAGG